UCCUACGGAGGCAGCAGUGGGGAAUAUUGCGCAAUGGGCGGAAGCCUGACGCAGCGACGCCGCGUGGGGGAUGACGGCUUUCGGGUUGUAAACUUCUUUCGACCUUGACGAAGCCUUUCGGGGUGACGGUAGGGGUAGAAGAAGCACGGGCCAACUACGUGCCAGCAGCCGCGGUAAUACGUAGGGUGCGAGCGUUGUCCGGAAUUAUUGGGCGUAAAGAGCUCGUAGGCGGUCUGUCGCGUCGGUCGUGAAAACUUGGGGCUUAACCCUGAGCUUGCGGUCGAUACGGGCAUGACUGGAGUUCGGCAGGGGAGACUGGAAUUCCUGGUGUAGCGGUGAAAUGCGCAGAUAUCAGGAGGAACACCGGUGGCGAAGGCGGGUCUCUGGGCCGAUACUGACGCUGAGGAGCGAAAGCGUGGGGAGCGAACAGGAUUAGAUACCCU
rnacentral:rRNA from 1 species